rnacentral:rRNA from 1 species
UACGUAGGGUGCGAGCGUUGUCCGGAAUUAUUGGGCGUAAAGAGCGUGUAGGCGGCCAGGUAGGUCAGCUGUGAAAACUCGAGGCUCAACCUCGAGAUGUCGGCUGAAACCAUCUGGCUAGAGUCCGGAAGAGGAGAAUGGAAUUCCCGGUGUAGCGGUGAAAUGCGCAGAUAUCAGGAGGAACACCGGUGGCGAAGGCGGUUCUCUGGGCAUGUCCUGACGCUGAGGAGCGAAAGUGUGGGGAGCGAACAGG